rnacentral:rRNA from 1 species
GAUGAACGCUAGCGGCAGGCCUAAUACAUGCAAGUCGAGGGGUAGAGGAAGCUUGCUUUCUUGAGACCGGCGCACGGGUGCGUAACGCGUAUGCAACCUACCUUUAUCCGGGGGAUAGCCCGGAGAAAUACGGAUCAACACCGCCUAAAAUCACAGAACAGCAUUCAUUAAUGAACAAAUAUUUAUAGGAUAAAGCUGGGCAUGCGUGCCAUUAGAUAGUUGGUGGGGUAACGGCCCACCAAGGCGACGAUGGCUAGGGGUUCUGAGCGGAGAAUCCCCCACACUGGUACUGAGACACGGACCAGACUCCUACGGGAGGCAGCAGUAAGGAAUAUUGGUCAAUGGGGGCAACCCUGAACCAGCCAUGCCGCGUGCAGGAAGACUGCCCUAUGGGUUGUAAACUGCUUUUGUACGGGAAUAACCACUGGUAUGUAUACCAGCCUGAAUGUACCGUAAGAAUAAGGAUCGGCUAACUCCGUGCCAGCCGCCGCGGUAACAC